GGCGAUAUGGCCGAGCGGUCUAAGGCGCUGGAAUCAGGUUCUAUUAUCCUUCUAUCCAGUCCGAAAGGGCGUGGGUUCGAAUCCCACUGUCGUCA